rnacentral:tRNA from 1 species
GGUGAGGUGUCCGAGAGGCCGAUGGAGCACGCUUGGAAAGUGUGUAAACAGAAAUGUUUCCAGGGUUCGAAUCCCUGUCUCACCGCCA